rnacentral:rRNA from 1 species
GAUGGACUGACCGCUGGUGAACCAGUUAUGCCGCCAGGUGUACGGCUGGGUAGCUACGUCGGGAAUAGAUAAGCGCUGAAAGCAUCUAAGUGCGAAACUAGCCACGAGAUGAGACUUCCUUACAGGGUCGUUGGAGAUGACAACGUUGAUAGGCUACAGGUGUAAAGGUUGAGAGACCAAAGCCGAGUAGUACUAAUAGCCCGAAGCUUUCCAAG